AAGGAUGGAUUGGGAGAAGUUGGCGGCCGUGGCCAAAGACUUAGGGAUGGAUAAGGAGGAGACGACGAGGUUUUUUGAGGUCGCUCAGAAGGAGCAUGACAAGCAGCUCGCACUGCAAGAACGGGCACGCGAAAGGGAGCGCAAAGAGCACGAAAGAGAGUACGAGCGCGAGAAGGAG
rnacentral:lncRNA from 1 species